UAUCUGUUCUUAUCAGUUUAAUAUCUGAUACGUCCGCGAUGAGCGGACUUUAUAUUAAACGGAUUUUUGGGCGCGGGAGUUGGAUCCGGAACUUGUUCCCUCCGCUCCGCGCAUCGUCCCGGUAUUGCAGCGCCUCCGGGAACGGUGCACCCCCC
rnacentral:snRNA from 1 species